CCUACGGGAGGCAGCAGUGGGGAAUAUUGCACAAUGGGGGCAACCCUGAUGCAGCGAUGCCGCGUGAGUGAAGAAGGCCCUUGGGUUGUAAAGCUCUUUCGUCGGGGAAGAAAAUGACUGUACCCGAAUAAGAAGGUCCGGCUAACUUCGUGCCAGCAGCCGCGGUAAU
rnacentral:rRNA from 1 species